CGUUUUAAUGUGUUAAUGGACGUUGGGGUUCUCAAGUGAGGUCAGUGCUGCUGGGGUUGAUGACGAUGGCAGCACUGAUCCUGUUUGAAGCCCUCGACUCCACAGUCGUCAAGAUCAAGCA
rnacentral:precursor_RNA from 10 species